UGGGGAAUAUUGCACAAUGGGCGCAAGCCUGAUGCAGCCAUGCCGCGUGUAUGAAGAAGGCCUUCGGGUUGUAAAGUACUUUCAGCGGGGAGGAAGGUGUUGUGGUUAAUAACCACAGCAAUUGACGUUACCCGCAGAAGAAGCACCGGCUAACUCCGUGCCAGCAGCCGCGGUAAUACGGAGGGUGCAAGCGUUAAUCUGAAUUACUGGGCGUAAAGCGCACGCAGGCGGUCUGUCAAGUCGGAUGUGAAAUCCCCGGGCUCAACCUGGGAACUGCAUCCGAAACUGGCAGGCUUGAGUCUUGUAGAGGGGGGUAGAAUUCCAGGUGUAGCGGUGAAAUGCGUAGAGAUCUGGAGGAAUACCGGUGGCGAAGGCGGCCCCCUGGACAAAGACUGACGCUCAGGUGCGAAAGCGUGGGGAGCAAACA
rnacentral:rRNA from 1 species